GACAUCAAAUAUUGGGGUUUCCGCAGCCCCC
rnacentral:sRNA from 1 species